GACAGAGGGUGCAAACGUUGUUCGGAAUUACUGGGCGUAAAGCGCGUGUAGGCGGCCCUGCAAGUCGGAUGUGAAAUCCCACGGCUCAACCGUGGAAGUGCAUUCGAAACUGCAGGGCUAGAGUCCUGGAGAGGAAGGUGGAAUGCUUGGUGUAGAGGUGAAAUUCGUAGAUAUGGGGAGGAACACCGGUGGCGAAGGCGGCCACCUGGACGGUAACUGACGCUGAGACGCGAAAGCGUGGGGAGCAAACAGG
rnacentral:rRNA from 1 species